rnacentral:rRNA from 1 species
AGGAUAAACGCUGGCGGCGUGCAUUAGACAUGCAAGUCGAACGGACUUCUCGGGGCUUGCUCUGAGAAGUUAGUGGCGGACGGCUGAGUAACGCGUAGGUGACCUAUCCCGAAGUGGGGAAUAACUGCCCGAAAGGGUGGCUAAUACCGCAUGCGAUCGUACGUUCACUCGAACGAUCAAAGCAGCAAUGCGCUUUGGGAGGGCCUGCGUCCGAUUAGCUUCGUUGGUGGGUAAUGGCUCACCAAGGCGACGAUCGGUAGGUGGUCUGAGAGGACGAUCACCCAGACUGGGACUGAGACACGGCCCAGACUCCGUACGGGAGGCAGCAGUCGGGAAUUUUGCUCAAGUGGGCGCAAGCCUGAAGCAGCAACGCCGCGUGAGGGAUGGAAGGCCUUGGUUCGUAAACCUUCUUUAUCAGGACGUAGUUAUGACGGUACUGAUGAAUAAGCCGACGACUAACUACGUCGCACGCGACGCCGAC